ACAAAAUAAAAGAAAAGAAAACUUAAAACAAAUAAAAAGAAAUCUAAUCGACAAAAAGGGGAAGUGUGGUUUAGCUAAGUCUUGAAGCUUCCAUGGAUGUCGGGCUUCAUCUCAGCCAACGUCGACCGCCGCUUUCAGGUUCCAUCUCAAUACAUCUCAUAAGAUCUCAUCGAAUGCUAUGAUAAUCGAUUCCAUAUGAAAAUUUCUUCAAGAUGUGAAUUUGUAGAAUCAAUUCAAAUCCCAAGGUUGAACCUCAUAAAGAGGUUAAUACCACUACUUAAUUUCAGAAGAAUCGAAGCUCGGUCAAACAAGCUAUUUUAGUAUACUGUAUUCUAUUUCUAAUGAGUUUGAGGUACUGUUAUAUUUCUGUUGUAACCUAAAUUUUGACUGAUUGUUGACUGCUUAUUACCUUCCACUGCAUGCAUUGACUAAAUUGUAUUCCUAUUUCUUGUAUUUUUGAUCUCUUAAAAAUGAAGCCUUGAAAUUCUUUGUUUAUC